rnacentral:rRNA from 1 species
CAGCCGCCACGGGAAUACGUAGGGUGCAAGCGUUAAUCGGAAUUACUGGGCGUAAAGCGCACGUAGGCGGCUUUGUAAGUUAGAGGUGAAAGCCUGGAGCUCAACUCCAGAAUUGCCUUUAAGACUGCAUCGCUUGAAUCCAGGAGAGGUGAGUGGAAUUCCGAGUGUAGAGGUGAAAUUCGUAGAUAUUCGGAAGAACACCAGUGGCGAAGGCGGCUCACUGGACUGGUAUUGACGCUGAGGUGCGAAAGCGUGGGGAGCAAACAGGAUUAGAUACCCCUGUAGUCCCUGUCUCUUAUAC